UACGAAGGGGGCUAGCGUUGCUCGGAAUCACUGGGCGUAAAGCGCACGUAGGCGGGUUUGUAAGUCGGGGGUGAAAUCCUGGAGCUCAACUCCAGAACUGCCUUCGAUACUGGCGACCUUGAGUCCGGGAGAGGUGAGUGGAACUCCGAGUGUAGAGGUGAAAUUCGUAGAUAUUCGGAAGAACACCAGUGGCGAAGGCGGCUCCCUGGCCCGUAACUGACGCUGAGGUGCGAAAGCGUGGGGAGCAAACAGG
rnacentral:rRNA from 1 species